GACGCGCCCGGCGGCAGCGGCGGCGGCGGCGGCAGCAGCCGCGGCGUCUUUAGCGGCGCCCAGUGCAGGAUGGUGCUGGAGGCGGCGGCGGCGGCCGUGGUGGCGGCGGCUUCGUUGGCGGCAGCGGGAGGGGGUGCUGUGGCGGCAGCGGCGGCGGCGCCCGCGGGUGGUAUAAAAUGGCGGAUUUCGAGGAGUUGAGGGAUCUCCAGUACAAUGUUGAAUAGAAGCGGUGAUGGGGGCAUCCUGAUCUUGUUCCUGAUUUUAAAGGGAAUGCUUUCAGAGUUUCACAAAUAUGGUUUCUAGUUUUAGGGUUUCUGAACUACAAGUGUUACUAGGCUUUGCUGGACGGAAUAAAAGUGGACGCAAGCAUGACCUCCUGAUGAGGGCGCUGCAUUUAUUGAAGAGCGGCUGCAGCCCUGCGGUUCAGAUUAAAAUCCGAGAACUGUAUAGACGCCGAUACCCACGGACUCUUGAAGGCCUUUCUGAUUUAUCCACAAUCAAAUCAUCGGUCUUCAGUUUGGAUGGUAGCUCAUCGCCUGUAGAACCUGACUUGGCUGUGGCUGGAAUCCACUCGUUGCCUUCCACUUCAGUUACACCUCACUCACCGCCCUCUCCUGUUGGUUCAGUGCUGCUUCAAGAUACUAAACCCACCUUUGAGAUGCAGCAGCCAUCUCCCCCAAUUCCUCCUGUCCAUCCUGACGUGCAGUUAAAAAACUUGCCCUUUUAUGAUGUCCUUGAUGUUCUUAUCAAGCCCACAAGUUUAGUUCAAAGCAGUAUUCAGCGAUUUCAAGAGAAGUUUUUUAUUUUUGCUCUGACACCUCAACAAGUUAGAGAGAUAUGCAUAUCCAGGGAUUUUUUGCCAGGUGGUAGGAGAGAUUAUACAGUUCAAGUUCAGCUGAGACUUUGCCUGGCAGAGACAAGUUGCCCUCAAGAAGAUAACUAUCCUAAUAGUCUCUGCAUAAAAGUAAAUGGGAAGCUGUUUCCUUUGCCUGGCUAUGCACCACCACCCAAAAAUGGGAUUGAACAGAAGCGCCCUGGACGCCCUUUGAAUAUUACAUCUUUAGUUAGGUUGUCUUCAGCUGUGCCAAACCAGAUUUCCAUUUCUUGGGCAUCAGAAAUUGGAAAGAAUUACUCCAUGUCUGUAUAUCUUGUACGACAGCUCACAUCAGCCAUGUUAUUGCAGAGAUUAAAAAUGAAAGGUAUUAGAAACCCUGAUCAUUCCAGAGCACUAAUUAAAGAGAAACUUACUGCGGAUCCUGAUAGUGAAAUUGCUACUACUAGCCUUCGCGUGUCCUUGAUGUGCCCUUUAGGGAAAAUGAGGCUGACAAUCCCAUGCCGUGCAGUGACUUGUACACACCUACAGUGUUUUGAUGCUGCCCUUUAUCUGCAAAUGAAUGAGAAGAAGCCCACCUGGAUUUGUCCUGUUUGUGACAAAAAAGCUGCCUAUGAAAGUCUAAUUUUAGAUGGGCUUUUUAUGGAAAUUCUCAAUGACUGUUCUGAUGUGGAUGAGAUCAAAUUCCAAGAAGAUGGUUCUUGGUGUCCAAUGAGACCGAAGAAGGAAGCUAUGAAAGUAUCCAGCCAACCGUGUACAAAAAUAGAAACUUCAAGUGUCCUCAGCAAACCUUGUUCAGUGACUGUAGCCAAUGAGGCAAGCAAGAAGAAAGUGGAUGUUAUUGACCUUACAGUAGAAAGCUCUUCUGAUGAAGAGGAAGACCCUCCUGCCAAAAGGAAAUGCAUCUUUAUGUCAGAAACACAAAGCAGCCCAACCAAAGGGGUUCUCAUGUAUCAGCCAUCUUCUGUAAGGGUGCCCAGUGUGACUUCGGUUGAUCCUGCUGCUAUUCCGCCUUCAUUAACAGACUACUCAGUACCAUUCCACCACACGCCAAUAUCAAGCAUGUCAUCAGAUUUGCCAGGAGGACGAAGAAGAAAUGAUAUUAAUAAUGAACUGCAGCUCGGAUCAUCUUCUGAUACUGUUCAACAGUGAAUGCAAAAUAAAACAGAUAAUUUGUAUUUAUGGAAUGGAAAACAGCUUGAUUAUUUCACGAAAAAAAUAUGACUGCCUUAUUAUUGCUCGUGCCGUAUUGUCAGGUGCGAGUGGUGCUCAAAAGUUGUGUCAUUAAAAUUUCAAAGUGCGAAACAUUUACAUAUUUAAUCAUGUAGCGCUUAUGUUUUGUUAAAGUUGAUGGCUCAAGUAAGGAAAAUGUGUUGUUAUUCAUUAAUAAGACAUAAAGUCAGUUUCACAUGAAGUAUUUAAAAUCUAAAAACUACAAUUUUAUCAAUAUUUAUAAACCACAUUUAGAAUAUGUCAUCAGAAUUUUUAACACUACUUGCUUUUCAGUUAAAGAUAAUUGGGAAUUUCAACCAUGACAUCCUUAGGAGGGCCUAAAAAUAUGUCAAUACAACAUAUCGUUGCUUUUGAAACUUACAGUGACUUGAGAAAAAAAGCAUUCUACCAAACUUGCAAAAUAAGACAGUGACAUUUAAUCACCAUUCAUGAAACUUCCAUCUAUCUCAUGUAUGAGUUUUAAUAGCUUAUACUUAGAAAGUAGAAUCAUAAGAUGUUGAUAAUAGUUUUUUUAAUAGAAGGAAUAACACCUGAAAUUCUCUAUCAAACUUCAUUGUUACUAUUUGAGAAGAAAUGGUUUCAGUAAGAAAUAUAUACAUUACAACAUUACUGAAUUUUGUGUGGACAUCUCUGUAAUGCUCAGGAGACAGUAGGUUUCAACCAAAACUUUGGGAAAAUUUAUAGGUAUUUUAUUAUGGCAGUGUGUAAGUCACCGUAUUCAUUUAUCCCUGGAUGAGGUGUCAAAAGGUAUAGAUCAAGUAAAUUUCUCAAAAUAUGUUAGCAAUAGAGUGUGUAACUACUAGCACAUGUGAAAUAAUGAUCAGAAUUACAGUACAACUGAAGAGCUGGGAGUUGAAAGAAUGAAAAUAUGGAGAAACUUGGCACCUCGAUAGACAGCUUCCAGUGCUAGAACUGCAGAAACAGUUUGAAAAUUAUAUCAAGCCUGUGUAUUUAUUUAAAUUGAAGUUAUUAAAUGGGAAUAGACAUUUAGGAAAUGAGCGGUUGGGGAGUUCCCGUUGUUGCACAGCAGAAACAAAUCCAACUAGGAACCAUGAGGUUGCUGGUUCAAUCCCUGGUCUUGCUCAGUGUGCCAAGGAUCUGGCAUUGCCGUGAGCUGUGGUGUAGGUCGCAGAUGCAGCUUGGAUCCUACGUUGCUGUGGCUGUGGCGUAGGCUGGCAGCUGUAGCUCCGAUUGGACCCCUAGCCCAGGGAAAUACAGCAAAAUUGGCUUUAGAGGUUUGACAAACAUUAAAAGUGAGUGUAUAAAAUUAAGUGAACUAUUAAAAACAAGAUAUUAUAUAAAGAAAAAUGUACCUUUUGAGGCAAAAUUAAUAAAAUUAAUAAAAUUAAGCCAAUGAAUUAAAUGACAUGACAGUAAAUUAUUUUUGUGACUUAGUCAAUAGAAAUAUUGAAUAAUUUAUAAAGCUCUGAGAAGAUACUAUAAGGAUUAGACAAAUUUUGAAUUACUGUUCAGCUGAAACAGGAUUUAUCAGACAGUAUCAUUAAUGUGAAGAAAAAUUCUGCUUAUUGAGAUGUCACCUAAUUACUAUCAAUUCAAUGGGGAAUUCCUUGGAAAACGUGGUUGUGUUUUUCUUUGUCCAGUGUGUUGGCUCAGACCUCGCUGUAUCAUACAGCCUAGUGACAGGCAUGUGAAUUGAAAAGUCAUACCAGCAAUUUUCAAUAAUGCUUUAGAAAUUUAAUGAUUUCUUUCAGAUGAUUGGUGCUAUAGCUUGUAUUACUCGCUGUGUACUUCUAUUAUACCCUUAGCGAUUAUAAGGGAAUAAAUAUACUUUAAUAUUUUGAUUUAUAAAUUAUUCAUACUCAUUAUUAAAAAUUUUAAUUAUCAUUUCCCACUAAUAGUCUCUAUUUAGAGUAACAGUCUACACUCUGCAUGAUUGUUAUAUUUGAGGUGACAUGAGGACCAGCAUAUAAAAAUUCAUGGAAUGAAUAGAAAUUGGCCUGUCUUCAUAACCUAUACCUAGUAUGUGAUUUUUAUUUUUUUGAUGUUUUGAAAUUUAUUCAUACAGGUCUUAGGGACCUGACCUAGAAGUUUAUUGCUAGACUUUACAGAACUGAAGGUUUUUAUUUUUUAAUUUUUUGUCUUUUUUGGGCUGUACCUGCAGUGUAUGGAAGUUCCCAGGCUAGGGGUCGAAUAGGAGCUGUAGCUGCCAGCCUAUGUCACAGCGAUGCCAGAUCCAAGCCUUGUCUGUGACCUACACUGCAGCUCACAUCCAUGCCAGAUCCUUAACCCCCUUAGCAGAGCCACAGAUCAAACACGCAUCCUUGUGGAUACUAGUCGGGUUCAUUACCACUGAACCACAAUGGGAACUCCCAAGUUCUUUAUUUUUUAUUGUUACAACUUUUAAUAUUUCAAAAUGGUAUUACUGAACAAACAUUCCUGUUUCUGAAGCGUAAUUGGAGAAUCCCAGAUCUUUGGUUCAGAAAACUGCAUUAACUCAUAACCCAGUAAACCUUGGUAAGAUUCAGCUUGUGAGUAGCAGUUAUUAAAUGCUUGCUUUGUGCAGAGCAUUGAACUGUGUACUACUCUUGUUGUGGGGACAGGAGGAUAGAGAGCUGUCCGUGAAAUAGACAUCUGUCUGUCUAAGAAGUGGUGUGUUAGAUAAAGCUCAAUGUGGUGUAUUUCUAAAAAAAUAAAUGUGAAGUAUCUUAAGAGUCUAUGUGUUUUUUAGUGAUCUGAAUCCAGAUCAUGAUCUCUUCAAUUUAUUGUUUCUCAUUCUGCUAAGUGAUGAGAGGGGGACAUUUGUUUUGACUAGUCCUAUGUAUCUGAAAAAUUUUGAACUGCUCCCUUUAAGUCUCUGGGAGGUGGUUUUUCCAGUUGCUUUGUCAGGAAAUAUGUUCAUCUUGAGGUUUUAUGCACAUUAAGCAUCCUCAAACGUCCUGUUCGUGGUAUAGACCUUCCAUACAGCAGAAUGGUAAGACCUUAACCCAGAUGUUUUAUGACUUAACGAUAAAUAAAAAGUGAUUUUGGGAAAUAAUUCUUGUCUCCAGAAUAUGAGACAACUAUUAACAGAACAUUUUUGUUUUAGGUUUGGAUUUUCUUUCCCUUAUUCCAGUUGAUCCCCAGUACUGUCCUCCUAUGUUUUUGGAUAGUCUCACCUCACCCUUAACCGCAAGCAGUACGUCUGUCACCACCACCAGCCCCCAUGAAAGCACUACUCAUGUUAGUUCAUCCAGCAGCAGAAGUGAGACAGGGGUCAUAACCAGCAGUGGAAGUAACAUUCCCGACAUCAUCUCAUUGGACUAAAAGGAGGACUCACUCGAUUCUAGGAAUCAUUCGUCAAAGCUGCUUUCUUGGAUCCCUGAUCCGCGGAAGCUAUUUUUUGGUAACAGUUACUUUGAUAUUUAUUGAAACGUCAAAUGGAUUCUUUUGCCUUUCGAGAGAUGAACACAGAUGACUGCAGCAAGAACCACAUGACACGCAAGGAUUUUUCUUAUCCCUGCUGUACUCUGAGCAUCAGACACAUCCAGCCAUAACUGUAUCUUCUUGAGAGAUGGAUUUCAAUUUCAUACGUUACUGGAUGGAUUCUACAAAUCAGUUAAUUUUUUUGUUGUAAUAAACAGCAAUAAAAUUAUGUAAAUAUUCAAGUAAACGUUUUUCUAAUUAAAAAGAAUGUAAUCAGUGGUUCUAAAAUGACAGCAAUCUUUGUUAAACCUGAUGUGAAGGAAAAAAUAUAUGGAAAGACAUUAAUGUUUGCCGAAUGAGUCCGUUCCAUGGAGAUUUGUUCUCUUUCGUUGAAGUAAUGAAGUCUUGAUAAGUGGCCAAAGCUUGGGUUCGUUCCACUUUUCUUCCUGCAGUUCCACUUUCCUUCCUGAUUCCAUCCAAGAAAAAUGGCCCUUGUGUUACACAUUUUUCCCCGUGUCAUUUACAUUUGAUGCUGUGUGCUAAUGAAUGCAGAGUGAGGUUCUGGGAUUUGGUUGUGCUUUGUUAAGUGAUUGUACUGAAGAACACUAUCACCGACUGCCCUGACAUAAUGUGUGUUAUUUUUGGUAAUUGUACAUUUCUCAUUUUGGAGAUUUCUAUGAAUUGGGCUUACCUUCUCAUAAAAGAAAGUCUCUGCAGCUGUUGAAUGAAAUUUUUUGGAGUGAGGUGUGGCUGGAAUGUUUGUUAGAAUUUUGUUCAUGCUGUCCAGAAAUACUGAGAGCUUGGUGGCAGUGCUUCGAAGAACAGAUUUAGGAGCAGUGGGAAUAACAAAGUCUAAUUUCUUCCUGAAGACUUCUUUUGCUCCUUUAUGUUAUAGAAAAAUGUACAAAUCUUCCUUGCAACUUUCCCGUUUAGUAACACUGACAAAGGAAAGAUGUGUUAGAUCUUAUAUUUCUCAUAAUAGUGGUUUUCAGACUUAACAAACAAUACCAAAGGGAAGGGGGUGGCAUCAAAUUUCCUUUUCCUUUUUUAAAAAGAAUUUUUUCCUAAAACUGAGAAGGACAAAACAAUUAGAAAUGUUUGAAUGUAAGAAAGGAUGGGAGAGGAUGGGCCUGAAACCCACUUUGAAGACUGCUCUCUUGAGUAUUUGAUUUUAAAUCUCAUAGGAAACUUGAGUUUUACCCUUAGAGGAACAUUUUUAUCCAAAUGUUAAUAUUUUCCUUUGCUUCAUUUGGCCGCAGAAUAAUUUCUGAGUUCUUAAGGAGUUAAUAGUUCCCUAAUGUUUAGCUUUCUCUACCCGAACUAUAUCUACUUUAAAAAUCAGUCGUUUUUUAAAAUGGGUUAAUCUGAUUUCUCCAACGAAAGUGGCCAGAUGAAGAGCCUCCCAAUUUCAGUUAGGAAAGGGAAUGCAUUACUUCAGGGUUUGUGCAACUCCAGGGAGCUGACUUGUCACUGGUUUUCUACACCUUCUCAGUUUUUCAUGGCCUCUGUGCUAUUUUGUACCGACUCAUUUCAUAUGAUUUUCUACGUCAUCCCUUUGGCUGAAUCUUCCCCUUAAUGUAUUAUCCCUUUUGGAGAGCUGCUUAUUAAAAACAUGGAAGACAAACCUGAAUCUUCUUGCCAAUAGUUGCAUCAUAGUUGCCAGUUGUACCUUCUUAGUCUACUUUAUAGUCCUUUGGUCCAGAUGCAGAAUUUCUUCCUAGUAAAAUUUGAUGUUGCUGCUCUCAAUAAGGAUGCAAGUUCUGUUAACUCUAAUAGAAAAAGUAACCUGAUUUAUGUGGUAUAAUUUGUUAAUAAAGAAAUGCUGUAUAUUUGUUACCAUUUUGUUACCCUUUAGAUUCUCAAAGCCCCUCCCCCCCAUUUAACCAACAAAGUUUUAUAAAGUAAAUGAACAAAUUAAUAGAAAUUAGUUUAUUUACUUGGUUCUGGUAACUCAUACCUCUGUGCUUUUAUAGUUGUGCUUUGCUUCCUUUUCACUAUUUUAUGUGAACAGUUUUAUUGUUCAUUUUUGGUGCUUUACAUACAUUUCACAUAAAUUUUUAAUUUAUCUCAUACAGGCGACUAACAUUUUAAAAAAUAUACUUUUAAGUUUAUAAUCUUAAAAUUGGGACUUUUGUGUAUCUUUGAAGGUGAGUAAUUUUCUUUAUGCUUUUGGCGCUAUGGGAAUAGCGUGCUUUUUAAGCCAUUGUCCUUUUUUUAGUAUGGUCACUAAAUAUUUUUACUAAGACCCUGACUUUGUAGCAGUUUCUUUUACAGCCGAGAUAUCUGCCCAACCAAGUAUAAUUCAGUUUCAGAGGAGGUUAUCUAUAGCUGUUACUUAGAUGUCAGCCCACGAGUGACAUCUUUAACAAUGACUGACAACGUUUAAGGAAAAGAAACCGUAGCUACUAGUCUCCUACGAACACUUACCGUGUAUUUUCAUUGUGAUUCACAUAGAAAUGUUAAGAGAUUUCCUUGCUUUGGUAACUCCUGACAAUGUAACUGGUGCUGAGUGUAGCUUCACGCUUAAGGUCUGCUGACAUUCACUAACUUUCUGACUCUUAAGUGAGCCUCUGUAGGAUUUUGUUUCCAUUUCUGCCCAGAAGGUAUAAAUACUAGGCAUCUGUCAUAGGGUAAUUAUACAGGCCACAUGAAACAGUAGAGGUAAAUUUAGGUUAUAUGACAUUUACUUGAUGAUGUAUUUCAGGAAAGCCAGAAUGAAAACACCAUGAUUAGGUGAACGAUUGUGAGUGUAAAUGAAGAGAUCUGUAACUCUUGGUACAAAGUUUCCCUAGGGUAGACUCUUAAGGAAUUGGAAGAAAGGUAAGAUGUUGAAUUUUAGAUGAAUAAUAUUCAACAGAGACCAUUCUGACUUUGAAUUCAGACCCGUCCUGGACAUCCAUCAUUUAGUAACCAAGUCUGCUUGUCUUCUGCUCAAAAAGUAUUUAUUAGAUACAUUUUGCCUUUUCAAGUAAAGUUGAUUUUUACAAAGCAUUAGUCUUCAGGUCUGUUUUUCAUUUCUCUCUAGCCCCACAAUGCGUAAAAAAAACAAGAGUGUCAUUUUUUUUUUUUCUGAUAAAACAGUUUUAUUUUCCUAAUCUUUUUCACCUUGGAAAAUGUAGAACCGUGCGCCAUUUUGAUUUAGGUCUGGUGAGGUGUUUUGUGACUCUAGAUCCAUGGGAGCAUGGAUGAAGUUGUUUAGAUUGUGAUUAUUGACUGAACCUGAUUCACCAUCUUUUCCUGCUACAGUUCUUCACGAAUAUGGUGAAACUUGUAGAAACAAAUUUAAUAAUUUCUCUGCUUUUUAAAGAGUCUGAUGCUCCUGUCAAAUGAAUGACUGUUUGUACGCCCCCACUUUUUUGUCAUUGUUGUUAGGAACCACGCUCCAGUUCCUAGCAGAAACAAAUAAAGCUGUACAAAAACGCCCA